UACGAAGGGGGCAAGCGUUGUUCGGAAUUACUGGGCGUAAAGGGCGCGUAGGCGGUGCGUUAAGUUAGGCGUGAAAGCCCUGGGCUCAACCCGGGAACUGCGCUUAAUACUGGCGCGCUUGAAUCCAGGAGAGGUUGGUGGAAUUCCCAGUGUAGAGGUGAAAUUCGUAGAGAUUGGGAAGAACACCGGUGGCGAAGGCGGCCAACUGGACUGGUAUUGACGCUGAGGCGCGAAAGCGUGGGGAGCAAACAGG
rnacentral:rRNA from 1 species